UACGAAGGGGGCUAGCGUUGCUCGGAAUCACUGGGCGUAAAGGGUGCGUAGGCGGGUCUUUAAGUCAGAGGUGAAAUCCUGGAGCUCAACUCCAGAACUGCCUUUGAUACUGAAGAUCUUGAGUUCGGAAGAGGUGAGUGGAACUGCGAGUGUAGAGGUGAAAUUCGUAGAUAUUCGCAAGAACACCAGUGGCGAAGGCGGCUCACUGGCCCGGUACUGACGCUGAGGUGCGAAAGCGUGGGGAGCAAACAGGG
rnacentral:rRNA from 1 species